UGAGGAAUAUUGGUCAAUGGACGGGAGUCUGAACCAGCCGAGUAGCGUGCAGGAUGACGGCCCUAUGGGUUGUAAACUGCUUUUGUGCGGGGAUAAAGUGUGGGACGUGUCCCAUAUUGCAGGUACCGCAUGAAUAAGGACCGGCUAAUUCCGUGCCAGCAGCCGCGGUAAUACGGAAGGUCCGGGCGUUAUCCGGAUUUAUUGGGUUUAAAGGGAGCGUAGGCCGGAGAUUAAGCGUGUUGUGAAAUGCCGCGGCUCAACCGUGGCACUGCAGCGCGAACUGGCUUUCUUGAGUGCGCGCGACGCAGGCGGAAUUCGUGGUGUAGCGGUGAAAAUCGUA
rnacentral:rRNA from 1 species